CCAAACCAACAAGCUUGCUUGUUGGGGUUGUAGGACACUCUAUACGGAGUUACAAAGGACGACAUUAGACGAAUCAUCUGGAAAGAUGAAUCAAAGAAGGGAAUAAUCCUGUAGUCGAAAAUGUUGUCUCUCUUGAGUGGAUCCUGAGUACGACGGAGCACGUGAAAUUCCGUCGGAAUCUGGGAGGACCAUCUCCUAAGGCUAAAUACUCUCUAGUGACCGAUAGUGAACCAGUACCGUGAGGGAAAGGUGAAAAGCACCCCGGAAGGGGAGUGAAAUAGAACCUGAAACCGUGUGCUUACAAGUAGUCAGAGCCCGUUAAUGGGUGAUGGCGUGCCUUUUGUAGAAUGAACCGGCGAGUUACGAUUUGAUGCAAGGUUAAGCAGUAAAUGUGGAGCCGUAGCGAAAGCGAGUCUGAAUAGGGCGUUUAGUAUUUGGUCGUAGACCCGAAACCAGGUGAUCUACCCUUGGUCAGGUUGAAGUUCAGGUAACACUGAAUGGAGGACCGAACCGACUUACGUUGAAAAGUGAGCGGAUGAACUGAGGGUAGCGGAGAAAUUUCAAUCGAACCUGGAGAUAGCUGGUUCUCUCCGAAAUAGCUUUAGGGCUAGCCUCAAGUGAUGAUUAUUGGAGGUAGAGCACUGUUUGGACGAGGGGCCCCUCUCGGGUUACCGAAUUCAGACAAACUCCGAAUGCCAAUUAAUUUAACUUGGGAGUCAGAACAUGGGUGAUAAGGUCCGUGUUCGAAAGGGAAACAGCCCAGACCACCAGCUAAGGUCCCAAAAUAUAUGUUAAGUGGAAAAGGAUGUGGCGUUGCCCAGACAACUAGGAUGUUGGCUUAGAAGCAGCCAUCAUUUAAAGAGUGCGUAAUAGCUCACUAGUCGAGUGACACUGCGCCGAAAAUGUACCGGGGCUAAACAUAUUACCGAAGCUGUGGAUUGUCCUUUGGACAAUGGUAGGAGAGCGUUCUAAGGGCGUUGAAGCAUGAUCGUAAGGACAUGUGGAGCGCUUAGAAGUGAGAAUGCCGGUGUGAGUAGCGAAAGACGGGUGAGAAUCCCGUCCACCGAUUGACUAAGGUUUCCAGAGGAAGGCUCGUCCGCUCUGGGUUAGUCGGGUCCUAAGCUGAGGCCGACAGGCGUAGGCGAUGGAUAACAGGUUGAUAUUCCUGUACCACCUAUAAUCGUUUUAAUCGAUGGGGGGACGCAGUAGGAUAGGCGAAGCGUGCGAUUGGAUUGCACGUCUAAGCAGUAAGGCUGAGUAUUAGGCAAAUCCGGUACUCGUUAAGGCUGAGCUGUGAUGGGGAGAAGACAUUGUGUCUUCGAGUCGUUGAUUUCACACUGCCGAGAAAAGCCUCUAGAUAGAAAAUAGGUGCCCGUACCGCAAACCGACACAGGUAGUCAAGAUGAGAAUUCUAAGGUGAGCGAGCGAACUCUCGUUAAGGAACUCGGCAAAAUGACCCCGUAACUUCGGGAGAAGGGGUGCUCUUUAGGGUUAACGCCCAGAAGAGCCGCAGUGAAUAGGCCCAAGCGACUGUUUAUCAAAAACACAGGUCUCUGCUAAACCGUAAGGUGAUGUAUAGGGGCUGACGCCUGCCCGGUGCUGGAAGGUUAAGAGGAGUGGUUAGCUUCUGCGAAGCUACGAAUCGAAGCCCCAGUAAACGGCGGCCGUAACUAUAACGGUCCUAAGGUAGCGAAAUUCCUUGUCGGGUAAGUUCCGACCCGCACGAAAGGCGUAACGAUUUGGGCACUGUCUCAACGAGAGACUCGGUGAAAUCAUAGUACCUGUGAAGAUGCAGGUUACCCGCGACAGGACGGAAAGACCCCGUGGAGCUUUACUGUAGCCUGAUAUUGAAAUUCGGCACAGCUUGUACAGGAUAGGUAGGAGCCUUUGAAACGUGAGCGCUAGCUUACGUGGAGGCGCUGGUGGGAUACUACCCUAGCUGUGUUGGCUUUCUAACCCGCACCACUUAUCGUGGUGGGAGACAGUGUCAGGCGGGCAGUUUGACUGGGGCGGUCGCCUCCUAAAAGGUAACGGAGGCGCUCAAAGGUUCCCUCAGAAUGGUUGGAAAUCAUUCAUAGAGUGUAAAGGCAUAAGGGAGCUUGACUGCGAGACCUACAAGUCGAGCAGGGUCGAAAGACGGACUUAGUGAUCCGGUGGUUCCGCAUGGAAGGGCCAUCGCUCAACGGAUAAAAGCUACCCCGGGGAUAACAGGCUUAUCUCCCCCAAGAGUUCACAUCGACGGGGAGGUUUGGCACCUCGAUGUCGGCUCAUCGCAUCCUGGGGCUGUAGUCGGUCCCAAGGGUUGGGCUGUUCGCCCAUUAAAGCGGUACGCGAGCUGGGUUCAGAACGUCGUGAGACAGUUCGGUCCCUAUCCGUCGUGGGCGUAGGAAAUUUGAGAGGAGCUGUCCUUAGUACGAGAGGACCGGGAUGGACAUACCUCUGGUGUACCAGUUGUCGUGCCAACGGCAUAGCUGGGUAGCUAUGUGUGGACGGGAUAAGUGCUGAAAGCAUCUAAGCAUGAAGCCCCCCUCAAGAUGAGAUUUCCCAACUUCGGUUAUAAGAUCCCUCAAAGAUGAUGAGGUUAAUAGGUUCGAGGUGGAAGCAUGGUGACAUGUGGAGCUGACGAAUACUAAUCGAUCGAAGACUUAAUCAA
rnacentral:rRNA from 1 species